rnacentral:rRNA from 1 species
AACGAACGCUGGCGGCAGGCUUAACACAUGCAAGUCGAACGGUUGUAGCAAUACAGCAGUGGCGCACGGGUGAGUAACGCGUGGAUAUCUGCCUUUCGGUUCGGAAUAACUCCGGGAAACUGGAGCUAAUACCGGAUGGUUCCUGCGGGAUAAAGAUUUAUCGCCAAAAGAUGAGUCCGCGUACGAUUAGCUAGUUGGUGAGGUAAUGGCUCACCAAGGCGACGAUCGUUAGCUGGUCUGAGAGGACGAUCAGCCACACUGGGACUGAGACACGGCCCAGACUCCUACGGGAGGCAGCAGUGGGGAAUAUGGGACAAUGGGGGCAACCCUGAUCCAGCCAUGCCGCGUGAGUGAUGAAGGCCU